AUACGGAGGGGGUUAGCGUUGUUCGGAAUUACUGGGCGUAAAGCGCACGUAGGCGGAUUGGAAAGUUGGGGGUGAAAUCCCAGGGCUCAACCCUGGAACUGCCUCCAAAACUAACAGUCUAGAGUUCGAGAGAGGUGAGUGGAAUUCCAAGUGUAGAGGUGAAAUUCGUAGAUAUUUGGAGGAACACCAGUGGCGAAGGCGGCUCACUGGCUCGAUACUGACGCUGAGGUGCGAAAGCGUGGGGAGCAAACAGGAUUAGAAACCCGGGUAGUCC
rnacentral:rRNA from 1 species